rnacentral:rRNA from 1 species
AUACGGAGGGUGCAAGCGUUGUUCGGAAUCACUGGGCGUAAAGGGCGCGCAGGCGGUUUGGUAAGUCAGAUGUGAAAGCCCACGGCUCAACCGUGGAAGUGCAUUUGAAACUGUCAGACUUGAGUACUAGAGGGGAAAGUGGAAUUCCCGGUGUAGAGGUGAAAUUCGUAGAUAUCGGGAGGAAUACCGGUGGUGAAGGCGACUUUCUGGCUAGAUACUGACGCUGAGGCGCGAAAGCGUGGGGAGCAAACAGGAUUAGAUACCCUAGUAGUCC